ACAGUGGACGCGAGCAUCUGUGGCCAAGUUUUUAAGGGCGCACGGUGGAUGCCUUGGCACCAGGAACCGAUGAAGGACGUGGGAGGCCACGAUAGGCCCCGGGGAGCCGUCAACCAGGCUGUGAUCCGGGGGUGUCCGAAUGGGGAAACCCGGCAGUCGUCAUGGGCUGUCACCCGCUGCUGAACACAUAGGCAGUGCGGAGGGAACGCGGGGAAGUGAAACAUCUCAGUACCCGCAGGAAGAGAAAACAACCGUGAUUCCGGGAGUAGUGGCGAGCGAAACCGGACGAGGCCAAACCGCAGGCGUGUGAGACCCGGCAGGGGUUGCGCAUGCGGGGUUGUGGGAUCUCUCUUCCACGGUCUGCCGGCCGUGGGACGAGUCAGAAACCGUUGGCGUAGGCGAAGGACAUGCGAAAGGUCCGGCGCAGAGGGUAAGACCCCCGUAGCCGAAACGUCAGCGGCUCGUUGGAGAGACACCCAAGUAGCACGGGGCCCGAGAAAUCCCGUGUGAAUCCGGCGGGACCACCCGCCAAGCCUAAAUAUUCCCUGGUGACCGAUAGCGGAGAGUACCGUGAGGGAAUGGUGAAAAGUACCCCGGGAGGGGAGUGAAAUAGUACCUGAAACCGUGUGCCUACAAGCCGUGGGAGCGUCGGAACGAGGCUUGCCUCGUUCUCGUGACUGCGUGCCUUUUGAAGAAUGAGCCUGCGAGUUUGCGGUGUGUUGCGAGGUUAACCCGGGUGGGGAAGCCGUAGCGAAAGCGAGUCCGAACAGGGCGGUUUCAGUAGCACGCUCAAGACCCGAAGCGGAGUGAUCUAGCCAUGGGCAGGUUGAAGCGGAGGUAAGACUUCGUGGAGGACCGAACCCACCAGGGUUGAAAACCUGGGGGAUGACCUGUGGUUAGGGGUGAAAGGCCAAUCAAACUCCGUGAUAGCUGGUUCUCCCCGAAAUGCAUUUAGGUGCAGCGUCGUGUGUUUCUUGCCGGAGGUAGAGCACUGGAUAGGCGAUGGGCCCUACCGGGUUACUGACCUUAGCCAAACUCCGAAUGCCGGCAAGUGAGAGCGCGGCAGUGAGACCGUGGGGGAUAAGCUCCAUGGUCGAGAGGGAAACAGCCCAGAGCAUCGACUAAGGCCCCCAAGCGUACGCUAAGUGGGAAAGGAUGUGGAGUCGCAGAGACAACCAGGAGGUUGGCUUAGAAGCAGCCACCCUUGAAAGAGUGCGUAAUAGCUCACUGGUCUAGUGAUUCCGCGCCGACAAUGUAGCGGGGCUCAAGCGUACCGCCGAAGUCGUGUCAUUGCGAUAUGUACCCCCAACGGGGAUCGUGAUGGGUAGGGGAGCGUCGUGUGCCGGGUGAAGCAGCCGCGGAAGCGAGUUGUGGACGGUUCACGAGUGAGAAUGCAGGCAUGAGUAGCGAUUCACACGUGAGAAACGUGUGCGCCGAUUGACUAAGGGUUCCUGGGUCAAGCUGAUCUGCCCAGGGUAAGUCGGGACCUAAGGCGAGGCCGACAGGCGUAGUCGAUGGACAACCGGUUGAUAUUCCGGUACCCGCGGUGCAGCGCCAGACACCGAAUCCAGUGAUGCUAAGCCCGUGAAGCCGCCGGCCGAGUCUUCGGACGAGGCCGGAGUGGUGGAGCCGGUGACCCGAGCUGGUAGUAGGUGAGUGAUGGGGUGACGCAGGAAGGCAGUCCAGCCCGGGCGGUGGUUGUCCCGGGGUAAGGGUGUAGGACGUCAGGUAGGCAAAUCCGCCUGGCACAUCGUCUGAGACCCGAUGCCGAGCCGAUUGCGGCGAAGUGGAUGAUCCUAUGCUGUCGAGAAAAGCCUCUAGCGAGUUGCACGGCGGCCCGUACCCGAAACCGACUCAGGUGGUCAGGUAGAGAAUACCGAGGCGUUCGGGUGAACUAUGGUUAAGGAACUCGGCAAAAUGCCCCCGUAACUUCGGGAGAAGGGGGGCCAUCACUGGUGAUCCGGCUUUGCCCGGUGAGCUGGGGGUGGCCGCAGAGACCAGCGAGAAGCGACUGUUUACUAAAAACACAGGUCCGUGCGAAGCCGUAAGGCGAGGUAUACGGACUGACGCCUGCCCGGUGCUGGAACGUUAAGGGGACCGGUCAGCUUGGAUUCGUCCAGGCGAAGCUGAGAACUUAAGCGCCAGUAAACGGCGGUGGUAACUAUAACCAUCCUAAGGUAGCGAAAUUCCUUGUCGGGUAAGUUCCGACCUGCACGAAUGGCGUAACGACUUCUCGACUGUCUCAACCAUAGGCCCGGUGAAAUUGCACUACGAGUAAAGAUGCUCGUUUCGCGCAGCAGGACGGAAAGACCCCGGGACCUUUACUACAGUUUGAUAUUGGUGUUCGGUUCGGCUUGUGUAGGAUAGCUGGGAGACUGUGAAGCGGCCACGCCAGUGGUCGUGGAGUCGUCGUUGAAAUACCAGUCUGGUCGUGCUGGAUGUCUAACCUGGGUCCGUGAUCCGGAUCAGGGACAGUGUCUGAUGGGUAGUUUAACUGGGGCGGUUGCCUCCUAAAGGGUAACGGAGGCGCCCAAAGGUUCCCUCAGCCUGGUUGGCAAUCAGGUGGUGAGUGUAAGUGCACAAGGGAGCUUGACUGUGAGACCGACGGGUCGAGCAGGGACGAAAGUCGGGACUAGUGAUCCGGCGGUGGCUUGUGGAAGCGCCGUCGCUCAACGGAUAAAAGGUACCCCGGGGAUAACAGGCUGAUCUUCCCCAAGAGUCCAUAUCGACGGGAUGGUUUGGCACCUCGAUGUCGGCUCGUCGCAUCCUGGGGCUGGAGUCGGUCCCAAGGGUUGGGCUGUUCGCCCAUUAAAGCGGUACGCGAGCUGGGUUUAGAACGUCGUGAGACAGUUCGGUCCCUAUCCGCUGUGCGCGCAGGAGUCUUGAGAAGGGCUGUCCCUAGUACGAGAGGACCGGGACGGACGAACCUCUGGUGUGCCAGUUGUCCUGCCAAGGGCAUGGCUGGUUGGCUACGUUCGGGAGGGAUAACCGCUGAAAGCAUCUAAGCGGGAAGCCUGCUUCGAGAUGAGGACUCCCACCCACUUGAUGGGGUAAGGCUCCCAGCAGACGACUGGGUUGAUAGGCCGGAUCUGGAAGCACGGUAACGUGUGGAGGUGACCGGUACUAAUAGGCCGAGGGCUUGUCCUCAGCUG
rnacentral:rRNA from 1 species